CCUACGGCACCUAUGAAGCGUUGUCUGGUACCAUCAACCUGAACGAGGGGGGCACGAGACACGCGGUGACGGAGAUUCAUAGUCAUCUGGGCUACAGUCCUGAUGAUUCCUGGCUCAACGACAUCGCUGUUUUCAAGGUGAGCCCAGAAUUUCCAAUAGAUGGAGUCAACGUGGCACCCAUACAGCUGCCAGAGCCGGCAGAGGAGGUUCCAGAUGGAGUCAACGUCACCGUCAUAGGUUGGGGAGAUCUGUGGUAUGGAGGACCGCAGCCAGACAACCUGCGCAAAGUGGACUUGGGAGUAGUAAACCAAGAGGAAUGCCAAGCGGUGUGGGGCGAAGAUGGCUACGCCAUCUAUCCUACGCAGAUCUGCGCUGCUCGCUUCGAGGAGAAAAACUACGACUCCU